rnacentral:ncRNA from 1 species
AGAAAGUUUGAUUCUGGCUUUAGAAUUUAAAUUAUAGAUUAUUUUACAUGUAAGUUUUUGUGUUUUUAUUCAUUUCUAAAUGAAUCAUAAAAUAUCACAGUAUAUAAUAUUAUACAUUAUUAGAAUUAGAUAUAGUAAUUCCUAUUAGGGUGGACUAAAUUCGUGCCAGCAGUCGCGGUUAUACGAUUCAUUCAAUUUAAAUGUUAAUAUUUCAGUUAUAAUUAUAUUACUUAUGAUUUAAAAAUUUGUAAAUUUUGGUGAAAUAUAUUUUUAAUAUUAUUCUUUUAUUAUGGCUGAUAAACCUUAUUAUAAACUAGGAUUAGAUACCCUAUUAUUAAAGGUGUAAAAUAUAUAAUUAGAUAAUUAAUAGUUAUGAUCUUUAAAUUCAAAGAAUUUGGCGGUAAUUCAUCUUUUCAGAGGAACCUGUUCUGUAAUUGAUAUUCCACGAUAUAAUUUACUUUAAUUAUACUUGUAUAUCUCUGUCAAGAAUGUUCUAUAAGGAAAUUUUCACUAAUUUUAUUAAUUUUAUGUCAGGUCAAGGUGCAGUUUAUUUUGGAGUAGAAAUGGGUUACAUUUAAUUAUUUCUGGAUUGAUAUUAAAAUAAAAUAUUAUGAAAUAGGAUUUGAUAGUAAAUUUAUUAAAUUAAAUAAAUUGAAUAAAGCUCUGAAUUAUGUACACAUCGCCCGUCACUCUCAUUCUAAAGUGAGAUAAGUCGUAACAAAGUAGUUGUACCGGAAGGUGUGGCUAGAAUGA